AAUCACGAACUUGCCAACUCGAUCAAAACUGCAAAACAGCAGAGAAAACCAUAAAAAAAAUCCAAAUCUCAAUUUUUAAACCAAGCUUGAAACGAGUCACACCAGGUUUGCUAUUUUUGGUGAAGUUUGAACUCCCUGGAGCUCCGUUGGAUCUCGGCAGUUAGCGAAAUAAUGUUUUCCCAGUGAGAUUUUGCCAGAAAACUAGAAACGAAAGAGAAUUCAAAGAUUUUGAGGGUGCGGAUGGUCUAAUUCCGGUAAGGGAAUACCAAUUCCGGUGAGAAACUCGCCGGAAAAACCAAACCAGCCGUCCUUGAUUUGAAGGUAAUAUGUUUCCUAUUUUAUCAAAGAAAACUUGUGAGUUAAAAAACAUGGUGGAUGGCUUGUGUCUUUAGCUUUCGCGACAAUCGCUCUUGCCCCAGUCACAUUUAACCUUGCUUCCAACUAUUAGCAUAUGUCAUUGACUUGUUGCAUCAGUGAUCCAAAUUCAUAUUAGGAAGAGUGACUCUGCCACAAACACAGUAUCUCUGCUUUGCCAUGUUUCUCAGUUAAACCCUUUGAACAAUGGUAUUUCUGUGGGUUCCCAGACUUGUCUGUUGACAAAACUCUCUACAUGUCCUUUUUUUUUCAGCUCACAAUCAUGUCUCUUUCUUGCGCUGGCCUUUUUGUCUUGCUUUGUACAAUUGAAGAAGUUGGUAGCCAAUUUUAAAAUCUUUUUUCACUUGUUUCGACAUGGACUAGACUCAAAGACAAGAGCAAAAAUGACCAUGAUUUUUUAUUUGGAUAACUGACUCAAGAAAAAUAAAAUAAAAAUAAAAUAAAGAGAAGAAAGAAAAGACAAUGAAUGUCCCCAUUAAAAAAAAAUAAUGAAAAAUGUAUCUAAAAAUGAGAGUUAACUCUAAUGAUUAUGCCAUGCAUUUUGGAUUAAGCUGCCUGAUCUUUCAUCCAAACCUUCUACUAAUUGUUAUUGAGUUAAUGACCUUGAAACUGAAUUGCUUCCUUGGGCCAAUUUGCAUUCAAAAAUCUCAUUUGGCUAGUGGCACCUUGAAGGGUUUUCGCCAACAAGCCUCUCUCAUCUUCUUUUCCUCAACUCACCAUAGUCUUAUGGUGUCUGUAAGAGUUUUCACCAACGAGACUCUCUUAUCUUCAUUUCUCUCAACUCACAGUCGUCUUACGAUGCCCGUGAGAGUUUUCACCGAUAAGACUCUCUCAUUUUUACUGCUCUCUUGAUUUCUUAUGCCGAGGAAGACAAGUGGUUCCCAAAUGCAUCAUCAUAUCCCUUGUAUUCUUAGCCUUAACAUCCUCAAAGAUUGAUCCGAAGGUCUUUCUUUGGUUGUAACUUGGCUUUUGGAUAGGGUUAGAAAGAAGGGAUGGCAUGGGGCCCAAACGACACUUAAAGUGGGGUAGGACUUACAACUUUUAAAAUCGACUCAAAUAAUGAGGAUUAACUCAUGCCCCAGUUUUUAACUAUGCAAUUCUAAAUCAUUUAUUUGGUUGGCCCGAGCCCUAAGUAGGGCAGCCUACGUAUCUCACCCCCGGUAGAGGAGAAUCAAGUCAUGCGUAGUUCUGCCAACUUAUUUUGCUUGAUUCUGAUUUCUUUUUUCUUUUGACUUCUUUUUUUUUUCUUUGUAAUUUUUCUGACUCUAUUUACUUACUCUUUUCUUCCUUCUUGGACACAUUUUCCUCUUUUUUUUUUAACUUUCUGACACUACUCUCUUGCUCGAUACUUUUCUUUUGAACUUUGUUGGUUUUAUCUUGAUUCCAAAAAAAGGGUAUGAAAGAAAAUAACACUAAGGCUUAAAUGGGGUAAACAAAGGAUGACACAAUGUUUAGAUAGCAGAAUAAAAUGUCUUCGUCAUAUCAAUCCUUGAAAAUGCACGUACAUAUCAUGCAAUAUGAAAGUGAAAGAUGAAGAUCAUUUGACACCUUAACAACACUAUCUUUAAUUGAACAUGUGUGCUACUUCUUCCUCUACACUUCUCAAACAUAUAACUCCACCUUUGUUGUAUAUCCCUUACAUUGAAUGACUCAUACUUUCGUCGAGUUGAUUUUCUUUAUAUUCCUCUUGAUAGGAUCACGCAGACACUGUUUGACCUAAUCGAGACAUGUCUUUUAAUUGACGACCAAGUUAUUCUUGUGAUUCUCAAAAUAAUUGCCUUAAUUUUUAGAAAAGGCUUUAACUUGUCACCAAAUAUCUCAGCACUCUACUAUUUUCUUAGAUGUUUCUCCUAACUUUAGCCCUCUGAUUCAAUGUUCAUGCUUAAACUGCAUUUUAAGAUCUGACUGAAAAUUCUGCAGGCAUGUCAUAUUACUAGAAUCAACAUAAAAUAUGUUGUAUAAAGAAAACAAACAAACAACACAUUUGAAACAUAAAAGGAAAGGGACACUUCAUUUAGUUGAAAUAAAAGAUAAAAGGGUUUGAACAUAAACGACGAAGGGACAAACAAGAUAGAUCUCGAACUACAACCCUGAAAUACUUCAAAAAAUAAAAAAGAAAACAAAACAAACUACCAGACCUCUUCCUAGUAGGGAGAUGGGUGACUUCUCAUUUGCUCAGCCUGACAACUUAGCCACUGGUUUGCAUAUCAACAUGACCAGAGCUUCCCUCACUGUCAAUGUUCUGCACCAUAAUCGAUCCAUCUUGAAUCAUCUUUUCAAUUUCCCUUUUCAAAUCUCUACAAUCUUUAAUACUAUGACCCUGAGCAUCAGAAUUAUACGCACAUCAUACAUUAGGGUCAAAAUUUCUUGAACGUCGAUUAAGAGUGCACCCAAGGAAAGGAGUGUUCAUUCUCCACUAUACCAAUUUCUGAAACAAACUGGCAUACGACUCUCUAAUUGGUGUGAAGCUAUCUCUCGACUUCUGCCUCAUUUCAUCAUUUGGCUUGGAUCAAAAAUCAGGCGUAGAAGGGUUUUGGUAUAUUUGUGAAGUUAGAGGAUGACUCUGAAUUGUUGGUGUUUUCCACUGUGGGUAAGAUGGGGGUUGAUUAUGUGGUUGUGCAUUAUAUACUGAAUAUGGAGGUGGAGGAGCAGAGUAUAAUGGAUUUUAGGAGUGAUUAUGUGGAGCUUGGGCAGGACCUUGGGUUUGAGCCUGAGAGUGGCGACAACGGGGUCUUCUUGACCGUGCCCACUGUCCAACUACAAUAGAGGAUGCAACUUCCUCAUUCUUUGUCUCCACAACACUUCCUGAACCCUUUUGAAUUGCUUGAGUUGUCACUUUCAAUGUUGCAAAACUCACAAUGUGACCAGUCUUAAUUCCCCCUUCUAUCAUCUCCCCAUUUUAAGGACCUCAAUAAAUGACUUGCCUAAUGCAGGUAACAAGUGUUGAUAAUAUAUUUCAUCCUGUGCUUGAAUAAAUACCUUUGCUAUUUUGCUUUCUUUCAUUGGCGGUUUUACUCUCACAGCUUGUUCGCGCCAUCUGAACGCAUACUUUCUGAAACUCUCAGUAUUCUUCUUUUUUAUACUAGUUAGGGAUUUUUCGUCAGAGAUCAACUCCACAUUGUAUUGAAAUUGUUAAAAAAAUUCAUUAGCUAGGUCAUCCCAACUAAUCUACUUGUCAAUGUCUUGGUCAACAAACCAUUUCGAAGCUAGGCCUGAAAGACUCUCCCAGAAAUAAUCCUUGAGUAGUUCUUCCUUCCCUCUAGUGCCCCUCAAUUGGUUAUAAUAGCGACUCAAAUGUGCCACUGGGUCCCCAUGUCCAUCAUAGUUCUCAACCUUUGGCAAUUUAAAGCCAGGUGGAAGGUUGACACCUGGAAACAUGCAUAAGUCCUUAUAUGAGACACUUAUGUAACCCUCAAGUCCUUGCAAGUUCUUCAUAGCCAGUUCCAAACUUCUCAAUUUUUGGUCAUUUUUCCUCUUGUCCUUCUUUCAUAACAAGCUUCUUAGUGUUAGGAGGAAAUUCAAGCGGGUGAGUGUCACUGUAAAGACCAGUCAACUUGAAUGUAGGCUCGAAAGUGUAAUGCUGAUCACCAAUAAUAUUCAAUGCAGGCUUUCUUGUAGAGUAGGGAGGCACAACUUGUGGACGAACAUCAAAAGUAGGAGCUUCAGGUGGUGGUGGCACCGCAAAAGCAUAAACAACAGGUGGAGCCGAGUAUGUGGUAGUCUUGGAUUAGGGAGUGAGGAAAUGAACAUUAGAAGUGGUUGGGUAUUGUUGCCCCCGAGUCGAUCCUGAUGCAUGUUGUGGCAUAUCAACAAAAAUGGGAAAUUGUGCAUAUGACACGAGAGGCAAGAUGGAAAGAUAUUCCAGAUUAUCAUUGGGAACUGGAGGAGGAGGUAACCCAUUAGCCCAAGCUCGAUGCAUUCCUAUCAUUUGCUGCCUCAAUUUUCGAAUCACUUCAUUAGCUCCUACAUUCUCACUUCCCAAACUCCCUAUCUGAUUAGUGACAACAAACUCGGUAUCCUUGUUAGCCAUAACCUUCUCUAUGACUUGGUGCAAUAUGGAGGACCCGCUAAAAUGCCACAACCCAACCACCUCAAACUAACUGAACAAGAGAUAGCAAAUGUGUUAGAGUUCAACACUUUCUCAAAAUCUCUCCUUUUUUUUCUUUUUUAAAAGGUCACCGAACCCAAGAAGGGUGUCUACGUAUCUCAGCCCCCGAGAGAGGAGAAUCAGGUGUGCGUAGUUCGUGAAAUCUUGCCAAAAUGGUCAAAUAAACUCUUUUUCUUUUUCUUGAAACUUUAAAAAUAAAAGGAAAUAACAAAUUGUCAAAAGAAUUGACGAAAAUCUUUUUUGCAUUUUUUGGCUUUAAUAACCUAUACAAAAUGAAACCUAUGAUUACCAAAGAAAAGUCAUUUUGGAUUUUCGAUUUUAAAUUUCAUAUGAAAAUAAAACUUGAAACUAUUAAAGGAAAAUGUUUUUGUAGUUUUCUUUUAGAGAUUUAUAUAAGACACUUACUUUAAAUAAAGAGUGAAGAAAAUCUUUUAGAAUUUUUCAAAUAAGAUCUCCGAACCAAAAAUAGGUUGCCUACAUAUCUCACAUCCCGAAAGAGGAGAAUCAGGGGUGCGUAGUUUGUCCAGAUUGGAUAAUUAAUGAUUAAAUAACCAACUAAACCCGGACUUGAGAGACCAGACCACAAACAGAAGAUGAAAAACAUCAAUAAAAUCUUUUUAAGUUUUCAAUUUGAGUCUUAACCUAAAAAUGACACCAAUAAAUAUGCAAGGAAAAUCUUUUUGAUACUUUCGUUAUAUGAAAUGUAUAAAACUUCUAUCAGUUUUUAAAUUUUUCUUUUAUAAAAGGCUCCUAUUGAAAAAAAAUCUUUUUAAAAUUUUUGAAUUAUGAAUGCAUGCUAAAGGAGACAAAGCAAAAAACUUUCUGAUGUUUUUGAUUUUAGACAAAUGAGUGCAAAAGGAAAAAAAAUCUUUCUGAAUUUUGAAUUUUGAAAAACAAAAGCCAUAAAGAACUCUAAAAACUAGAAACUCUCUUUUUUUUCUUUUCGACUCACUAUUCUUCUUUUUUUUUCUUUACUUCUAACACAUGUUUUCCCCAAAUUAGUCCAUCAAAUGACCAUAUUACCCUCAAAGAUGCAACAAUUAACACGUAGGGAUGCUUUAGAGGCGAGUCUCCUACAAAAGGCCAAGUGGGCCCCGUUAGGUCUUCAAUAUGAUGCAUAUAAACAUGACCUAAAGGCUGACCUACGUUGGGGUUCACUAACAAGGCUGUUCGGAGGAGCGUAUAUUCGAUAGUGGUUGCUUUGCUUUCCAUCUACUCAAUAACACCGAUGGCUCCUCCCAUAAAAUAAGGGUGACUCAACUAGAGGUCGUGUGCAAUACAUGUACUAUGGACUUGUUGCAGAAAGAAUGACUCGGGCUAUGCACAUGAUGCUAGAUAUAAAGUAGUAACACAUAAGAUAAAACUGUAAACAAAGAGCAUGUAGGCACUCAAAAAAAAAAACAAAAAGCAACACAAACAUAUGUCUAUACACCUAUAGUGACAAACUAAGCUGAUACAACUCCAAAUUAAGCUCUAAUUCUGAAAAUAGAUCUCCAGCAGAGUCGCCAGAGCUGUCACACCUCUUUUAAACUCCAAAAAGAUAUUAUUUUAAAAGUUUGAAAGGGUUUUCGUUAUAAAAGUGACAAAAGAUAAAAAUUUGCUUCGAAAAGGACCUUUUAUAUUCAAAACUCAGAGUCGCCACUUGGCAUAAUCCGGUGUGCCAAGUCACCUUUGGAAAAUCCUUUUCAAAAUGAUUUGACUCAAACUGGUUUGCUAACAGAGAUUUUGACUAAGGAAUUUUGUUGACAGACGGGAAGGUGUUAGGCACCCCUCGAUCCUGUGAUUUGAACGCGGUCGCUUGUUGGAGCAUAUCGGCUAAUUUGACACCACGAAUGUAUAAACCACACAAAAGCACGCAAAACAAUCAAUCAAGCAAAAAAAAAUAAAAACAAUCCAAAAUUUGGUGUCCAGUCCAAUUUAUUACAAAUCGAAAUAGAAAAUACUGAAAUAAACCUACACUAACCUAUACUAGUCCUAAAUUAUACUCUACCCGAUGCCUUGGUCCUUCAUCACAGACAUCCUCCGUGUACAAAAUACCUCAGGGCAUUCCCCAACGAAUAAACACAAAUACCUCGGGGCAUUCCCCAGCCAAAUGAAUACAUUUUUAAUGCAAGAAGACCACAAUCAUUCAAUAAUAUUUCAAACAUUCCAUAUUUUAUAAUCCCUAAAUUUGCUUAUCACCCCUAUUGUUUGCCUAUCGAUUUGACGACCUAAUCUUGAUACUAUCAAGUUCGAUGACAUCAAUGAAUCAAAAUUAGUCCGUAUUCAUUUUUUUACUUUUCAAAUCCCAUCUCACUUUUAUUCUUGAUCAAUUAACCAAUUCCAAUACAGAAUCAAAACUACGAUAAUCAUAGACGUUCAAACAUACUAUAAAAAAUUAUAUCAUCAAUCAACAUGAACCACGCAACUCACAACAUCACCUCACCAAAUUAAGUAAAACAAAGAGAAGGAGUUGAAGAAUUGGACCUUAGAAGAAGCUUUCAAAAUUGAUGUAUUAUUCCAAUAAAAACCCGGUACAAUCCGCGUCGAGAACCUUGAUUCAUACCUCAAUCACGAACUUGCCAACUCGAUCAAAACCCCAAAACAGCGGAGAAAGCCACAAAAAAAAUCCAAAUCUCAAUUUUUGAACCAAGCUUGAAAUGAGUCAUGCCAGGUUUGUUAUUUUUGGUGAAGUUCGAACUCGCUGAAGCUCCGAUGGAUCUCGACAGUCAGCGAAACAAUGUUUUCCCAGUGAGAUUUUGCCAGAGAACUAGAAAUGAAAGAGAAUUCGAAGAUUUUGAGGGUGCGGAUGGUCUAAUUCCGGUAAGGGAAUACCGAUUUCGGCGAGAAACUCGCCGAAAAAACCAAACCAGUCGUCCUUUUUCUCAUGUAUUCCCUCUCUUCGAUCGAUUCUCUCCCUUUCUCAAUUUGGAUUGUCUUCUCUCCGAUCUCACGCUCAGAUUUGUCUCUCACUGUGGUUGUGUGUAUGUAUAAUGGUUUUGUGUGAAGGCAGGUGUAUUAAUGGAAUAAACUCAUCAGUGAUGGUGUCUAUAUAUUCCUCUUUCCCGUAUUCUAUAUGUGUAUAUGUUGAAUUGAGAUCUUUUUCUUUAUGGUUACCGUGAUGUUCGUCCAUGGCGUGUAGGUGUGUUCGUGGUAUAUGGGUCUUCUCUAAAAAUGGAAAAAAAUGGUCAGAAUGUUACUGUGUGGACAUCUCUGUAUUGUUAUCUAUUGUAUUCUUAUGUAUUCGCCUCCCAGUUUCUGUGUGAAGUGCGUGUGUAUAUUGUGAAUUACAGUGAGUGAGAAUUGUGUGGUAGUGGAGUAGGGUAGGUGGGCUAGUGAGGUGCGGGUAGGGGUAGGAUGUGAUGUGGUUUAUUUUGAUUGGAUGGGUUGUUAGGAUAAGAUAAAAUUAGCUAGGGAUUGUUAUUUUUGUCAUUUUGUGGAGAUUAUCACACGGGGUAGGGUACGCGGUAGGAUAAGGUAAAAAUGUGUAAAAAUGAUAUAGGGAAGGGACAAAAUUAGGUGUCUACAUCAUGCCCCCUUUGAAUGUAAACACAAAGUAUUUUUGAACAAAGAAGUAGACAACAAGACAGAAUUUUGUCCCGAUCAUUAUUCGAAGGAAAAAUAGAAGAAAGAAGAGCAAUCGAGUAUUGACUUAGGACACCCUACCUACCCAAGUUAUGAGGGAAUCAAGUGACAGGAUUCUCAAAGGAUUGAAAGGAGAUGGACUUUACCGAGUUGAAGAGUCGAGUGAGGUCCCGAUGAGGUUCCAGUCCGCGCAUCUGUUAUUACAUCAUAAAUAAAAGUUACAAGUUAAAACAUAAAUAAAAUUACAAAAUCAUAUCUAUGCAGUUAGUUUCUUUUGGACUCUUAACUUGAGUUUCAUCACUCUAUUCUUCAGGCGGGCUCCUGACUUGCAAUUUCAUCACUUGUUGCUUGGUUUUCAAUCUCUUCACCCUGUUCUUCAGGCGGGUUCCUAACUUGCUAUUUUUUCAAUCUGUUGACUUUAAAUUUCUUCACCUUGUUGCUUGACUUUCAACUUCUUCACCUUGUUACUUGACUUUCAACUUUUUCACCAUGUUGCUUGACUUUUCAUUUAUUCACCCUGCUCUUCAGGCGGGCUCCUGAAAUCACAUCAAUACUAAAAAGAAAAAUUAUCCCAAACAAAGAUUAUUAUAAAGAGAUUUCAUUUGUCAGGAAAGCGAAGUUCCAAACACAGGAUUUAAAUUUUCCCCAGUUUCUCAUCAAAGGACUUUUGGGAAAGUCACAUCAUUAUAGGAAUCAAAGGGAAUGACUAGACUAAAAGGAACAUCUUAUAAGAAUCAAAGGGAAUGACUCAACUAAAAGGUACGUCUUCUAGGAAUCAAGGGAUAUGACUCGACUAAAAGGUACUUCUUAUAGGAAUCAAGGGGCAAGGGGAAUGACUUGACUAAGUCUAAUGACUCGACUAGGGAAUGACUAGACUAAAAGGAACAUCUUAUAAGAAUCAAAGGGAAUGACUCAACUAAAAUGUACGUCUUAUAGGAAUCAAGGGGAAUGACUUGACUAAAAGGUACGUCUUUUAGGAAUCAAAUGACUCGACUAAAGGCACAUCAUCUAGGAAUCAAGGGGAAUGACUAGACUAAAAGGUACGUCUUCUAGGAAUCAAAGGUAAUGACUCGACUAAAAGGUACGUCAUCUAGGAAUCAAGGGGAAUGACUCGACUAAAAGGUACGUUUUCUAGGGGUCAAGGGGAACGAUUCAACUAAAAGGUACGUCUUCUAGGGGUCAAAGGGAAUGACUCGACUAAAAGGUACAUUUUAUAGGAAUCAAGGGGAAUGACUCGACUAAAAGGUACGUCUUCUAGGGGUCAAGAGGAAUGACUCGACUAAAAGGUACGUCUUCUAGGAAUCAAAUUAAAUAACUCGACUAAAAGGUACGCCUUAUAGGAAUCAAGGAGAAUGACUCGACUAAAAGGUACGUCUUCUAGGGGUCAAGGGAAAAGACUCGACUAAAAGAUAUGUCUUAUAGGAAUUAAAGAAGAUGACUCGAAUAAAAGGUACGUCUCAUAGGAGUGAAGGUUCAAUUUAAGAAGUGUAUCACCUAGCAAAUGAAAACUAAAAUCCCUGGACAAGAAAGUGUCUCCGAGGGAUAUAGGAUGAUGAUUUUUUACAAUGACUUGAUUAUUAAACCUGUCCAACAACAUUGUUUCCUGCAUUUGUAGGAGUGAGGCAUUGCAGACCUUGAUAUUUAUGUUCCGAAUUCCUUGAUUUAAAGGUAAUAUGUUUCCUAUUUCAUCAAAAAAAACUUGUGAGUUAAAAAAUAUGGUGGCUGGCUUGUGGCUUUAGCUUUUGCGACAAUCGCUCUUGCCCCAGUCACAUUUAACCUUGCUUCCAACCAUUAGCAUAUGUCAUUGACUUGUUGAAUCAGUGAUCCAAACUCAUAUUAGGAAGAGUGACUCUGCCACAAACACAGUAUCUCUGCUUUGCCAUGUUUCUCAGUUAAACCCUUUGAACUAUGGUAUUUCCGUGGGUUCCCAGACUUGUCUAUUGACAAAACUUUCUAUAUGUCCUUUUUUCAGCUCACAAUUAUAUCUCUUUCAUGCGCUGGCCUUUUUGUCUUGCUUUGUACAAUUGAAGAAGUUGGUAGCCAAUUUUAAAAUCUUUUCUCACUUGUUUCGACAUGGACUAGACUCAAAGACAAGAGCGAAAAUGACCAUGAUUUUUUAUUUGGAUAACUGACUCAAGAAAAAUAAAAUAAAAAUAAAACAAAGAGAAGAAAGAAAAGACAAUGAAUGUACCCAUUAAAAAAAAUAAUGAAAAAUGUAUCUAAAAAUGACAGUUAACUCUAUUGAUUAUGCCAUGCAUUUUGGAUUAAGUUGCCUGAUCUUUCAUCUAAACCUUCUACUAAUUGUUGUUGAGUUAAUGACCUUGAAACUGAAUUGCUUCCUUGGGCCAAUUUGCAUUCAAAAAUCUCAUUUGGCUAGUGGCACCUUGAAGGGUUUUCGCCAACAAGCCUCUCUCAUCUUCUUUUCCUCAACUCACCAUAGUCUUAUGGUGUCUGUAAGAGUUUUCACCAACGAGACUCUCUUAUCUUCGUUUCUCUCAACUCAUAGUCGUCUUACGAUGCCCAUGAGAGUUUUCACCGAUAAGAAUCUCUCAUUUUUAUUGCUCUCUUGAUUUCUUAUGCCGAGGAAGACAAGUGGUUCCCAAAUGCAUCAUCAUAUCCCUUGCAUGCUUAGCCUUAACAUCCUCAAAGAUUGAUCCGAAGGUCUUUCUUUGGUUGUAACUUGGCUUUUGGAUAGGGUUAGAAAGAAGGGAUGGCAUGGGGCCCAAACGGCACUUAAAGUGGGGUAGGACUUACAAUUUUUAGAAACGACUCAAAUAAUGAGGAUUAACUUAUGCCCCAGUUUUUUACUAGGCAAUUCUAAAUUAUUUAUUUGGUUGGACCAAGCCCUAAGUAGGGCAUCCUACGUAUCUCACCCCCGAGAGAAAAGAAUCGGGUCAUGCGUAGUUCUGGCAACUUGUUUUGCUUGAUUCUGAUUUCAUUUUUCUUUUGACUUCUUUUUUUUUCUUUGUAAUUUUUCUGACUCUAAUUUACUUACUUUUUUUCUUCCUUCUUGGACACAUUUUCCUCUUUUUUUGAAAAAACUUUCUGACUCUACUCUCUUGCUCUAUACUUUUCUUUUGAACUUUAUUGGUUUUAUCUUGAUUCCAAAAAAGGGGUAUGAAAGAAAAUAACACUAAGGCUUAAAUGGGGUAGACAAAGGAUGACACAAUGUUUGAAUAACAGAAUAAAAUGUCUUUGUCAUAUCAAUCCUUGAAAAUGCACGUACAUAUCAUGCAAUAUAAAAGUGAAAGAUGAAGAUCAUUUGACACCUUAAAACCACUAUCUUUAAUUGAACAUGUGUGCUACUUCUUCCUCUACACUUGUCAAACAUAUAACUCCACCUUUGUUGUAUAUCCCUUACAUUGAAUGACUCAUACUUUCGUCGAGUUGAUUUUCUUUAUAUUCCUCUUGAUAGGAUCACGCAGACACUGUUUGACCUAAUCGAGACAUGUCUUUUAAUUGAUGACCAAGUUAUUCUUGUGAUUCUCAAAAUAAUUGCCUUAAUUUUUAGAAAAGGCUUCAACUUGUCACCAAAUAUCUCAGUACUCUACUAUUUUCUUAGAUGUUUCUCCUAACUUUAGCCCUCUGAUUCAAUGUUCAUGCUUAAACUGCAUUUUAAGAUCUGACUGAAAAUUCCGCAGGCAUGUCAUAUUACUAGAAUCAACAUAAAAUAUGUUGUAUAAAGAAAACAAACAAACAACACAUUUGAAACAUAAAAGGAAAGGGACACUUCAUUUAGUUGAAAUAAAAGAUAAAAGGGUUUGAACAUAAACGACGAAGGGACAAACAAGAUAGAUCUCGAACUACAACCCUGAAAUACUUCAAAAAAUAGAAAAGAAAACAAAACAAACUACCAGACCUCUUCCUAGUGGGGAGAUGGGUGACUUCUCAUUUGCUCAGCCUGACAACUUAGCCACUGGUUUGCAUAUCAACAUGACCAGAGCUUCCCUCACUGUCAAUGUUCUGCACCAUAAUCGAUCCAUCUUGAAUCAUCUUUUCAAUUUCCCUUUUCAAAUCUCAACAAUCUUUAAUACUAUGACCCUGAGCAUCAGAAUUAUACGCACAUCAUACAUUAGGGUCAAAAUUUCUUGAACAUCGAUUAAGAGUGCACUUAAGGAGAGGAGUGAUCAUGCUCCAUUGUACCAAUUUCUGAAACAAACUAGCAUACGACUCUCUAAUUGGUGUGAAGUUAUCUCUCGACUUCUGCCUCAUUUCAUCAUUUGGCUUGGAUAAAAAAUCAGGCUUAGAAGGGUUUUGGUAUAUUUGUGAAGUUAGAGGAUGACUCUGAAUUGUUGGUGUUUUCCACUGUGGGUAAGAUGGGGGUUGAUUAUGUGGUUGUGCAUUAUAUACUGAAUAUGGAGGUGGAGGAGCAGAGUAUAAUGGAUUUUAGGAGUGAUUAUGUGGAGCUUGGGCAUGACCUUGGGUUUGAGCCUGAGAGUGGCGACAACGGGGUCUUCUUGACCGUGCCCGCUGUCCAACUACAAUAGAGGAUGCAACUUCCUCAUUCUUUGUCUCCACAAUACUUCCUGAACCCUUUUGAAUUGCUUGAGUUGUCACUUUCAAUGUUGCAAAACUCACAAUGUGACCAGUCUUAAUUCCCUCUUCUAUCAUCUCCCCCAUUUUAAGGACCUCAAUAAAUGACUUGCCUAAUGCAGGUAACAAGUUUUGAUAAUAUAUUUCAUCCUGUGCUUGAAUAAACACCUUUGCUAUUUUGCUUUCUUUCAUUGGCGAUUUUACUCUAACAGCUUGUUCGCGCCAUCUGAUCGCAUACUUUCUGAAACUCUCAGUAUUCUUCUUUUUUAUACUAGUUAGGGAUUUUUCGUCAGAGAUCAACUCCACAUUGUAUUGAAAUUGUUGCACAAAUUCAUUAGCUAGGUUAUCCCAACUAAUCUACUUGUCAAUGUCUUGGUCAACAAACCAUUUCGAAGCUAGGUCUAAAAGACUCCCCCAGAAAUAAUCCUUGAGUAGUUCUUCCUUCCCUCUAGCGCCCCUCAAUUGGUUACAAUAGCGACUCAAAUGUGCCACUGGGUCCCCAUGUCCAUCAUAGUUCUCAAACUUUGGCAUUUUAAAGUCAGGUGGAAAGUUGACACCUGGAAACAUGCAUAAGUCCUUAUAUGAGACACUUUUGUAACCCUCAAGUCCUUGCAAGUUCUUCAUAGCCAGUUCCAAACUUCUCAAUUUUUUGGUCAUUUCCUCUUGUCCUUCUUUCAUAACAAGCUUCUCAGUGUUAGGAGGAAAUUCAAGUGGGUGAGUGUCACUGUAAAGACCAGUCAACUUGAAUGUAGGCUCGAAAGUGUACCGCUGAUCACCAGUAAUAUUCAAUCCAGGCUUUCUUGUAGAGUAGGGAGGCACAACUUGUGGACGAACAUCAAAAGUAGGAGCUUCAGGUGGGGGUGGCACCGCAAAAGCAUGAACAACAGGUGAAGCCGAGUAUGUGGUAGUCUUGGAUUGGGGAGUGAGGAAAUAAACAUUAGAAGUGGUUGGGUAUUGUUGCCCCAAAGUCGAUCCUGAUGCAUGUUGUGGCAUAUCAACAAAAAUGGGAAAUUGUGCAUAUGACACGAGAGGCAAGAUGGAAAGAUAUUCCAGAUUAUCAGUGGGAACUGGAGGAGGAGGUAACCCAUUAGCCCAAGCUCGAUGCAUUCCUAUCAUUUGCUGCCUCAAUUUCCGAAUCACUUCAUUAGCUCCUACAUUCUCACUUCUCAAACUCCCUAUCUGAUAGUGACAACAAACUCGGUAUCCUUGUUAGCCAUAACCUUCUCUAUGACUUGGUGCAAUAUGGAGGACCAGCUAAAAUGCCACAACCCAACCACCUCAAACUAACUGAACAAGAGAUAACAAAUGCGUUAGAGUCUAACACUUUCUCAAAAUCUCCCCUUUUUUUCUUUUUGAAAAGGUCACCGAACCCAAGAAGGCUACCUACGUAUAUCACCCCCUGAGAGAGGAGAAUCAGGUGUGCGUAGUUCAUGAAAUCUUGCCAAAAUGGUCAAAUAAACUCUUUUUCUUUUUCUUGAAACUUUAAAAAUAAAAGGAAAUAACAAAUUGUCAAAAGAAUUGACGAAAAUCUUUUUUGCAUUUUUCGGCUUUAAUAACCUAUACAAAAUGAAACCUAUGAUUACCAAAGAAAAGUCAUUUUGGAUUUUCGAUUUUGAAUUUCAUAUGAAAAUAAAACUUGAAACUAUUAAAGGAAAAUGUUUUUGUAGUUUUCUUUUUAGAGAUGUAUAUAAAACACUUACUUUAAAUAAAGAGUGAAGAAAAUCUUUUAGAAUUUUUCAAAUAAGAUCCCCGAACCAAAAAUAGGUUGCCUACAUAUCUCACAUCCCGAAAGAGGAGAAUCAGGGGUGCGUAGUUCAUCCAGAUUGGAAAAUUAAUGAUUAAAUAAUCGACUAAACCCGGACUUGAGAUACCAGACCACAAACAGAAGAUGAAAAACAUCAAUAAAAUCUUUUUAAGUUUUCAAUUUGACACUUAACCUAAAAAUGACACCAAUAAAUAUGCAAGGAAAAUCUUUUUUGAUAUUUUCGUUAUACGAAAUGUAUAAAACUUCUACCAGUUUUUAAAUUUUUCUUUUAUAAAAGGCUCCUAUUGAAAAAUAAUCUUUUUGAAAUUUUUGAAUUAUGAAUGCAUGCUAAAGGAGACAAAGCAAAAAACUUUCUGAUGUUUUUGAUUUUUGAGAAAUGAGUGCAAAAGGAAAAAAAAUCUUUCUGAAUUUUGAAUUUUGAAAAACAAAAGCCAUAAAGAACUCUGAAAACUAGAAACUCUCUUUUUUUUUCUUUUUGACUCACUAUUCUUUUUUUUUUUUUUUUUUUUACUUCUAACACAUGUUUUCCCCAAAUUAGUCCAUCAAAUGACCAUAUUACCCUCAAAGAUGCAACAAUUAACACGUAGGGAUGCUUUAGAGGCAAGUCUCCUACAAAAGGCCAAGUGGGCCCCUCUAGGUCUUCAAUAUGAUGCAUAUAAACAUGACCUACAAGGUGACCUACGUUGGGGUUCACUAACAAGGCUGUUCGGAGGAGCGUAUAGUCGAUAGUGGCUGCUUUGCUUUCCACCUACUCCAUAACAUCGAUGGCUCCUCCCCUAAAAUAAGGGUGACUCAACUAGAGGUCGUGUACAACACGUGUACUAUGGACUUGUUGCAGAAAGAAUGACUCGGGCUAUGCACAUGAUGCUAGAUAUAAAGCAGCAACACAUAAGAUAAAAUUAUAAACAAAGAGCAUGUAGGCACUCAAAAAAAUAACAAAAAGCAACGCAAAUAUAUGUCUAUACACGUAUAGUGACAAACUAAGCCGAUACAACUCCAAAUUAAGCUUGAAUUCUGAAAAUAGAUCUCCAACGGAGUCGCCAGAGCUGUCACACCCCUUUUUAACUCCAAAAAGAUAUUAUUUUAAAAGUUUGAAAGGGUUUUCGUUAUAAGUGACAAAAGAUAAAAAUUUGCUUCGAAAAGGACCUUUUAUAUUCAAAACUCAGAGUCGCCACUUGGCAUAAUCCGGUGUGCCAAGUCACCUUUGAAAAAUCCUUUUCAAAACGAUUUGACUCAAACUGGUUUGCGAACAGAGAUUUCAGCUAAGGAAUUCUGUUGACCGACGGAAAGGUGUUAGGCACCCCUCGAUCCUGUGGUUUGAACACGGUCGCUUGUUGGAGCGUAUCGGCUAAUUUGACACCACGAAUGUAUAAACCACACAAAAGCACGCAAAACAAUCAAUCAAGCAAAAAAAAUAAAAACAAUCCAAAAUUUGGUGUCCAGUCCAAUUUAUUACAAAUUGAAAUAGAAAAUACUGAAUAAACCUACACUAACCUAUACUAGUCCUAAAUUAAACUCUACCCGAUGCCUUGGGCCUUCAUCACAGACAUCCUCCGUGUACAAAAUACCUCAGGGCAUUCCCCAACGAAUAAACACAAAUACCUCGGGGCAUUCCCCAGCCAAAUGAAUACAUUUUCAAUGCAAGAAGACCACAAUCAUUCAAUAAUAUUUCAAACAUUCCACAAUUUAUAAUCCCUAAAUUUGCCUAUCACCCCUAUUGUUUGCCUAUCGAUUUGACGACCUAAUCUUGAUACUAUUAAGUUCGAUGACAUCAAUGAAUUAAAAUUAGUCCGUAUUCAUUUUUUUACUUUUCAAAUCCCGUCUCACUUUCAUUCUUGAUCAAUUAACCAAUUCCAAUACAGAAUCAACCAAUCAAAACUACGAUAAUCAUAGACGUUCAAACAUACUAUCAAAAAUUAUAUCAUCAAUCAACAUGAACCACGCAACUCACAACAUCACCUCACCAAAUUAAGUAAAACAAAGAGGAGGAGUUGAAGAAUUGGACCUUAGAAGAAGCUUUCAAAAUUGAUGUAUUAUUCCAAUAAAAACCCGGUACAAUCCGCGUCGAGAACCUCGAUUCAUACCUCAAUCACGAACUUGCCAACUCGAUCAAAACCCCAAAACAAUGGAGAAAACCACAAAAAAAAAAAAUCCAAAUCUCAAUUUUCGAACCAAGCUUGAAACGAGUCACGCUAGGUUUGCUAUUUUUGGUGAAGUUCGAACUCGCUGAAGCUCCGAUGGAUCUCGGCAGUCAGCGAAACAAUGUUUUCCCAGUGAGAUUUUGCCAGAGAACUAGAAACGAAAGAGAAUUCGAAGAUUUUGAGGGUGCGGAUGGUCUAAUUCCGGUAAGGGAAUACCGAUUUCGGUGAGAAACUCGCCGGAAAAACCAAACCAGCCGUCCUUUUUCUCAUGUAUUCCCUCUCUCCGAUCGAUUCUCUCCCUUUCUCGAUUUGGAUUGUCUUCUCUCCGAUCUCACGCUCAGAUUUGUCUCUCACUGUGGUUGUGUGUAUGUAUAAUGGUUUUGUGUGAAGGCAGGUGUAUUAAUGGAAUAAACUCAUCAGUGAUGGUGUCUAUAUAUUCCUCUUUCCCGUAUUCUAUAUGUGUAUAUGUUGAAUUGGGAUCUUUUUCUUUAUGGUUACCGUGAUGUUCGUCAAUGGCGUAUAGGUGUGUUCGUGCUAUAUGGGUCUUCUCUAAAAAUGGAAAAAUAUGGUCAGAAUGUUACUGUGGGGACAUCUAUAUUGUUAUCUAUUGUAUUCUUAUGUAUUCGCCUCCCUAUUUCUAUGUGAAGUAUAUGUGUAUAUUGUGAAUUCCAG
rnacentral:lncRNA from 1 species